rnacentral:rRNA from 1 species
GACGAACGCUGGCGGCGUGCUUAACACAUGCAAGUCGAACGGUGAAGCGCCUUCCUUUUUUGUGGGUGUGGAUGAGUGGCGAACGGGUGAGUAACACGUGAGUAACCUGCCCCCUUCUUCUGGAUAACCGCAUGAAAGUGUGGCUAAUACGGGAUAUUCUGGGUCUGUCGCAUGAUGGGUCUGGGAAAGAUAUUGUUUCGGUGGGGGAUGGGCUCGCGGCCUAUCAGCUUGUUGGUGGGGUGAUGGCCUACCAAGGCGGUGACGGGUAGCCGGCCUGAGAGGGUGGACGGUCACACUGGGACUGAGACACGGCCCAGACUCCUACGGGAGGCAGCAGUGGGGAAUAUUGCACAAUGGGCGCAAGCCUGAUGCAGCGACGCCGCGUGAGGGAUGGAGGCCUUCGGGUUGUGAACCUCUUUCGCCAGUGAAGCAGGCCUGCCUCGUUUGUGGGUGGGUUGACGGUAGCUGGAGAAGAAGCGCCGGCUAACUACGUG